UUAACGGUCGUUGCUCCAGGUGCCCUCUGAGGUGCGGAGCGUUUGUGGGGCUGUGCAGGAUGCGGCCAGCAGGACGGAGCCGGCAGGCCUGAGUCUUUUGGUGAAUUAAAUCUUCAUUGAUGAAUCUUGUCUGGCACAGCUGAGAAGCCUUGAUGAUGACUUAAACCACUCCUAUGAAGCACCAUGGCAGUUCUUUUCUUUUCAAGUGAAAAAUAGUAAUUUUCCACAGGAAGCAGGAGAUGGCCAUGGUAUGUCAUCCUUCUCACCCCAAACUGAACAGAGAAGUCAAGCCAGAGACUGCUGUUCCCGCAGAAGAAUGUGCCCAAAACAGAAGAACUGGUCACUUGGGAAGAUCUGCCUUUUCGCAGUGGCUCACAGUGCUAAAAGAAGAACUCUGAAGCAUUGGUUGUUCUGCUCAGUGUUUUUCUACUACUGCAGACUAUUCCAUAAGGCUUACAUGGGGCUUAGUCCUGACAGCACAGUGACAGUACCAGUAGAGUGCUUCUUCUGCACCAUGAAGAACUUGAGAGCAUCAAGGCUCAGGUCCUACAACAAGUCCACUCAAACAUGGGUCAGACAAAUGUCCCAGUGUGGUUCUUCUGUCACCCUGUCACUACACUGCCUUAACUCUUCAGCCUCUCUGAGAUGCCCUUCUCCUUGUUUAAUCCCAUGACCUUCUUGGUAGACAGGAGGCAUGUUUUUUAACAAGAGUUGAUUGCAUAGCCAAAAACCACCAUCCCACAAUAAAGAGAAAGGGUAGCCUUGGCCAUCUGCCCAUUCUGGUUCAGUGGCAAAGUAAAGGCAGCAAUUAGAGGUAAAAAAGCAGUAUAUGAGAAAUUGAAAAAGGGAAGUAGAUAGCAAUUCAUAUGAAUCAAAAGUUAUGAAGUGUAGAAAAUCGAUAAGCGAAGUGAAGGACAUUGGAAGAAAAUCCAUGGCUGGAAGGGCUAAGGGCCAUAAAGAAGAGUUUUAUAAAUAUUUAAGAAAUAGAAGAAAAAUGACCAUUUGUAGGGGGACUCUUUUAUGUUGUAGAUGAUUAAACUAUUAAUAGAAUGAGGAAGUGAGUAUUUCUGUCCUGCAUUUAGAAUAAGAAGUGUUAUGUACCUGUCUUAUAUGAAGAUGGUGAGACGCCUUACUCAGUUGUUUCCACAGGAAGGUAUCAGACAUCUGUUAGGGACAGACUUCAGAGGAAUCAGUAGACCUUGAUACCUUGGCUUUUAGAAUUUUAAAAUUGCUGACAAAGGCCCACCUAGGGCAGGUAAAUAAUUGCUAAGGGUAGGUAUUUUUGAGAAAUUCGAGAUGGCUGGAAAAGUUCUAAUGAAGCAUAUACUGUCCCUGUUUGAUAACUGCCACUGAUGUGAACCAGAGUAAAAUAAAGGAAGAAGAAAAAGUUCAAUUAAAACUUAAGAGGUGGUAUUACAA